GGCUCAGAUUGAACGCUGGCGGCAUGCCUUACACAUGCAAGUCGAACGGCAGCACGGGAGCAAUCCUGGUGGCGAGUGGCGAACGGGUGAGUAAAGUAUCGGAACGUACCUUUCAGUGGGGGAUAACGUAGCGAAAGUUACGCUAAUACCGCAUAUUCUGUGAGCAGGAAAGCAGGGGAUCGCAAGACCUUGCGCUGAUUGAGCGGCCGAUAUCAGAUUAGCUAGUUGGUGGGGUAAAGGCCUACCAAGGCGACGAUCUGUAGCGGGUCUGAGAGGAUGAUCCGCCACACUGGAACUGAGACACGGUCCAGACUCCUACGGGAGGCAGCAGUGGGGAAUUUUGGACAAUGGGGGCAACCCUGAUCCAGCCAUGCCGCGUGAGUGAAGAAGGCCUUCGGGUUGUAAAGCUCUUUCAGCCGGAAAGAAAUCGCGCAGGAUAAUACUCUGCGUGGAUGACGGUACCGGAAGAAGAAGCACCGGCUAACUACGUG
rnacentral:rRNA from 1 species